rnacentral:rRNA from 1 species
ACGAACGCUGGCGGCGUGCUUAACACCUGCAAGUCGAACGGAAAGGCCCUGCUUUUGUGGGGUGCUCGAGUGGUGAACGGGUGAGUAACACGUGAGUAACCUGCCCUUGACUUUGGGAUAACUUCAGGAAACUGGGGCUAAUACCGGAUAGGAGCUCCUGCUGCAUGGUGGGGGUUGGAAAGUUUCGGCGGUUGGGGAUGGACUCGCGGCUUAUCAGCUUGUUGGUGGGGUAGUGGCUUACCAAGGCUUUGACGGGUAGCCGGCCUGAGAGGGUGACCGGCCACAUUGGGACUGAGAUACGGCCCAGACUCCUACGGGAGGCAGCAGUGGGGAAUAUUGCACAAUGGGCGGAAGCCUGAUGCAGCAACGCCGCGUGCGGGAUGACGGCCUUCGGGUUGUAAACCGCUUUCGCCUGUGACGAAGCGUGAGUGACGGUAAUGGGUAAAGAAGCACCGGCUAACUACGUG